AUUACCUUUUCAUCGAUCAUUUUCAUCUACAAUAUUUAAUGUCGCGGUCUUCGUCUUGCUUGAAGAAGAUGCACCAAUCUACAAUAUUUAAUGGAGGCGGCGUCAUCCCUGCCAAGAGUCUCCGAUUCCUCGAAUCCCAGCUCCAGAAAUUGGACGGCCAAGAUGCUAGAAUUGCAGACUACUUUGAUGUAAUUGCAGGGACGAGCACCCGGAGGGCUGGUGACGGCCAUGUUGACUGCCCCCGAUGCUAAUAACCGCCCUAUUUAUGCAGCUAAAGAUAUUGCUCAAUUUAAUGUACAACAUGGCCCUAAGAUCUUCCCAAAGAGGUUUCAUGUUGGAUUUUGUUACUACUCCUACUAAAUUGAUGAUGCUUGAUUGCAUGUGAAUUACUCCGCUUAGUAAUUUUGAGAUACUACUAUUAUACAUUAUUAGUAUUAAUAUAAUAUUAAUUGUAGUUGGCUUAGAUGUGGAUGGCUGCAUAUGUACGUCCCAGAUACGAUGGCAAGUGUCUGCAAAAGCUCACAAGGGAGAUUUUAGGGCAGGCUCGUUUGGAUCAAACCUUAACCAAUGUUGUUAUCCCAUCAUUCGAUAUCAACUAUAUGCAGCCUACCAUCUUCUCCUCCCACCAGGUCAUCUCGUCUAUCAAUCUAUCCCUUUGUUGAUGCAACAGGUGAAGAAUCUGGGUUACAAGGACGUGCUACUUUCGGACAUAUGCAUCGCCACCUCCGUUGCACCACUUUUUUUCCGCCCUAUAGUUUCACAAACAUCGAUGACUCCGGCCAGUCUUGGGGUCCAUGUCCUAAAAUAGUAGUGAAAAUAGAGUUAGUGGAUUAUGAGGUCCAUGUCCUAAAAUAGUAAGAUUCUAAAGUUUCUAUUUUUAAGGAAUGGCCGAGUAUUAGUUUUAACUUUUUAAGAUAGAACCAUAUUAGAUAGACGAAUGGGUAAGAUGGAAACACGAUAUUAUUCUUGCAGACGUUGGUGGCAGUGCGAGAAGUAACAAAAGAAGUGGUGAGCAGAAGCGAAGAUUUCUUCCCGAUUCAGCCUCUGGAAUGCGCAAAGCUGCUGGUGAUAUCGCUGAGCACGGGCUCUGCGAAGCAAGAGAUGGCAAAAAUGGCGUCGAAAUGGGGCAAGAUGCGCUGGGUCAAUUGUCGAAAGCUCACACCUAUAAUCGAUAUCUACUACCAAGCUAGCACAGAUAUGCUACAUUAUUUCUUAUCGGUAAUAUUCAAGGCACAAACUUCUCAUCUCCGCAUUCAGGCUGAAAAUUUAACCGGAGAUAGCUCAUCACGACGGAGGAGAAUCUGAACGAUCUAGUCGAAAUCGGGGAAUGUUUGUUACACUCUCCUUUCUCAAAGAGUUAAUCUGCAAACAGGAAAUUUUGAUCCUGUUGCUGACGGAGGCACAAAUCAUGACGUUUUGAUUAAGUUUACAAAAAUGCUCUCCGAUGAACAAAAAUUCCGGCAGUCGAAAUCACAGCACAAGAACUAGAAGGGACCUCAUAAUUGUUUUGUUACUGUAUCUUAUCUUUAUUCCAAAUCUAAUGUUUUGGUACUGUUAAAAUAAUUUGUGGACGUUUCCAAAUAUGUUGACUAUUUUUUGGUUUUAA